AUUGAACGCUGGCGGCAUGCCUUACACAUGCAAGUCGAACGGUAACAGGUCUUCGGAUGCUGACGAGUGGCGAACGGGUGAGUAAUACAUCGGAACGUGCCCGAGAGUGGGGGAUAACGAAGCGAAAGCUUUGCUAAUACCGCAUACGAUCUCAGGAUGAAAGCAGGGGACCGCAAGGCCUUGCGCUCACGGAGCGGCCGAUGGCAGGUUAGGUAGUUGGUGGGAUAAAAGCUUACCAAGCCGACGAUCUGUAGCUGGUCUGAGAGGACGACCAGCCACGCUGGGACUGAGACACGGCCCAGACUCCUACGGGAGGCAGCAGUGGGGAAUUUUGGACAAUGGGCGCAAGCCUGAUCCAGCCAUGCCGCGUGCAGGAUGAAGGCCUUCGGGUUGUAAACUGCUUUUGUACGGAACGAAAAGACUCUGGUUAAUACCUGGGGUCCAUGACGGUACCGUAAGAAUAAGCACCGGCUAACUACGUGCCAGCAGCCGCAGUAA
rnacentral:rRNA from 1 species